rnacentral:misc_RNA from 1 species
GUGAAUCAUCGAAUUUUUGAACGCAAAUUGCGCUUCCUGGCAUCCCGGGGAGCAUGCCUGUUUGAGGGUCAGUAUUAAUAAAAAAUUGGUUUAGGUACACACCUUUACGUUUCCGGAGUUUGGGCUAUUUUCACAUUUUAGGCUACGAGGCUUAAAAUUGACCUUUUUUGCGCACUCUUAAACGUACAUAAAUUUUUUUUAUUAGUCUUUUCUUAAUGCCAUAUUCUUAUUAGAUCCGAUCACAUCGUGUGGCUUCGUGCUCAUAC